rnacentral:rRNA from 1 species
GACGAACGCUGGCGGCGUGCUUAACACAUGCAAGUCGAACGGUAAGGCCCUUCGGGGUUCCCGAUUGGCGAACGGGUGAGUAACACGUUGGUAAUCUGCCCUGCACUUCGGGAUAAGCCUGGGAAACUGGGUCUAAUACCAGAUAUUCAGUUCCUGCCGCCUGGUGGGGGUUGGAAAGUUUUUCGGUGCAGGAUGGGCCUGCGGCCUAUCAGCUUGUUGGUGGGGUAUUGGCCUACCAAGGCGACGACGGGUAGCCGGCCUGAGAGGGUGAUCGGCGACAAGGGGACUGCGAGACGGCCCAGACGCCUACGGGAGGCAGUAGGGGGGAGUAUGGCACAAUGGGCGAAAGCCUGAUGAAGCGGCGCCGCGUGGGUGAUGACGGUCUUCGGAUUGUAAACCGCUUUCAGUAGGGACGAAGCGGAAGUGACGGUACCUGAAGAAGAAGCACCGGCCAACUACGUG